AGAGGUUGUCCACAUGGCAAGAGAGAGAUGCAGAACGACUUAAUCCGUUGGCUGGGAAUCUGGCCCUGGCUUCAACUGACCGCCUUGGUGGCAGUGUACAGGUGAUGACCUCAACGAACGGAGAACUGAAUGUGGACGACCCGACAGCCGGUCACUCCCACACGCCGAUCGCUGCCCAGCCGGACGUCGAGCUCCUAGAUGAGACCAAGUGCUGCUGCUUCAAGCGCAGGAAGAGGAAGAAGAAAACCACGCGACAGAAAUGAUAUAAGGACGUCUCCCCGAGCCAAGAUUUGGACACGAUGUUGCUACAGUCACAGUCGUGAGAACGCGUGCGCGCCGUCGCCGCGGCAACGAAACUGUAGCUAUGUACAUAUACGGCAUGCGUUCUUGCAACGAGAGCGAAAGCGUUUGUUUUGAAAUAGUACGUAUGAGGUCAUCUCUUUGGAAAGAAAUCAUGUGAACGUAACUGUGCUGCUUCUUGAAGGAUAUAUGUAUGUGUGUAUGUAUGUAUAUAUAUAUAUA